rnacentral:rRNA from 1 species
UACGAAGGGUGCUAGCGUUGUUCGGAAUUACUGGGCGUAAAGCGCGCGUAGGCGGCGAUGCAAGUCAGGGGUGAAAUCCUUGGGCUCAACCCAAGAAUUGCCUUUGAAACUGCAUUGCUAGAGUGUCGGAGGGGAUAGCGGAAUUCCUAAUGUAGAGGUGAAAUUCGUAGAUAUUAGGAGGAACACCGGUGGCGAAGGCGGCUAUCUGGACGACAACUGACGCUGAGGCGCGAAAGCACGGGGAUCAAACAGG